rnacentral:snRNA from 1 species
GUAUUUCAUACGGAAUACAUACAAUAAAAUUGGAACAAUCAACAGAGAACAUUAGCAUGGCCCCUGCGCAAAAGCUGAGACGUAAUCUUCUCUGUGUGUUC